UACGUAGGCAGCGAGCGUUGUUCGGAGUUACUGGGCGUAAAGGGUGUGUAGGCGGUUGUUUAAGUUUGGUGUGAAAUCUCCCGGCUCAACUGGGAGGGUGCGCCGAAUACUGAAUGACUUGGAGUGCGGGAGAGGAAAGUGGAAUUCCUGGUGUAGCGGUGAAAUGCGUAGAUAUCAGGAGGAACACCUGUGGCGAAAGCGGCUCACUGGACCAUAACUGACGCUGAUGCACGAAAGCUAGGGGGGCAAGCAGG
rnacentral:rRNA from 1 species